UACGAAGGGGGGCGAGCGUUGUUCGGAUUUACUGGGCGUAAAGGGCGCGUAGGCGGCGGGUCAAGUCGAGUGUGAAAGCCCCGGGCUCAACCUGGGAAUUGCGCUCGAGACUGGUCUGCUUGAGUUCGGGAGAGGAGAGUGGAAUUCCCAGUGUAGAGGUGAAAUUCGUAGAUAUUGGGAAGAACACCGGUGGCGAAGGCGGCUCUCUGGACCGAGACUGACGCUGAGGCGCGAAAGCGUGGGGAGCAAACAGG
rnacentral:rRNA from 1 species